ACAUUAAUGUACACAUAAAGGUUGACAUAAAGGUAGACAUAAAGGUAGACAUAAAGGUAGACAUUAAGGUUGACAUAAAGGUAGACAUAAAUGUAAACAUAAA